rnacentral:lncRNA from 1 species
GUGGUGGUGGUUCCAUGGCUUCCUUCCUCUUUCUCUUUUCUUCUUCCUUUCUCCCUUCUCCUCUUUUCCUCUUUUCUUUCUCUCUUUACUAGUUUUUUCUUUCUUUCUCUUCUUCUUAUCCAUUUUUCCUUCUUUCUCUUAUAACCACACAAUUAUAUAUUUAAUAUAUAUUAUAAUAUUAGGUAGUAAUACAAAAUAUCUCAAUUGAUAUUUUAUCUUCUAGUACCAAUUGAUCAAUUAUUAAUGUUACCAAAAUAUCACUUCUUAUACGUAUUAAUAAUGGUCCUUCUCUUUUAAUAAAGAUUGGUCUCUUC